UAUGGAUUGUGGCAGCCGCCGCGGUAAUACGUAGGGGGCAAGCGUUAUCCGGAUUUACUGGGUGUAAAGGGAGCGUAGACGGCACGGCAAGCCAGAUGUGAAAGCCCGGGGCUCAACCCCGGGACUGCAUUUGGAACUGCUGAGCUAGAGUGUCGGAGAGGCAAGUGGAAUUCCUAGUGUAGCGGUGAAAUGCGUAGAUAUUAGGAGGAACACCAGUGGCGAAGGCGGCUUGCUGGACGAUGACUGACGUUGAGGCUCGAAAGCGUGGGGAGCAAACAGG
rnacentral:rRNA from 1 species